GCGCGCGCUCCCGUUCACUCGUGUGUUGUGUCGGUCCGGGUGUGACUGAGCGGCUGCAGAUGCCUCUUGCCUUCUCGACGAAGUGCUGUCGUGAUCGUUUGAGCGUAAACUAAGUGGAACUGGCCAGGUUCUGAAACUGAACUCUCCGAAACUGGACUUUCCAGAACUGAACUCUCCAGAAACUGGACUCUCAGACACUGGAUGGCGAGCUAAGGCCUAGAGCCCGAAUCAAACUAAGAGUGCAAGCAUCUGCCUGUGCGGUAGGAGGCGUAGCAGUUGCUCAACCCACACACACACUCACACACCCACUGCCCCCUGCCCCCUGCUGUGGGCAUUGGGCUCCUCAUAAACUUUGCUGGAAAUCACCUACUUUAUCUUAACCAUCUCUGGAACUAUUUUUUGCCUUUCACAUGACCUCCGUGUGGAUUACAUUAAAUUUUGCUGCUGCUCAUUAGCAAUCGGACUAAGGACUAUAACUCAUUGAACCCUCCGUAGCCUCUGAACUUAAUCACAUAACUGUGCACCCCUGUAAAUACUGUAUAUAUUGUCUGUUGUACACUGUAAUUAAUAAUAAUAUCACAGAUAAGCACUACAACCUUGUGCACGUGUCUUAUUAAACACCUCACUUCCCUCCAAGCCGAACCCAAUCUUCUGAUCUAGCCAGUCACCAUUACUACUACUAU